GUAAUCCUGGCAGGGGAAACACCAUGACCACUAAGAUGGUUUUCCUAGUCACUGGGGAUAACUGCUCUUCUGGCAAGGGUUAGUACCUGUGCAGAGGUAAUGCCCACUUUAUGGAAAUGGGAGACUCCUCCCUAGCUUGCUCCUG
rnacentral:snRNA from 1 species